rnacentral:tRNA from 1 species
GUGACUGUAGUUUAACGGCAAGAAUAGCUGAUUGUGGUUCAGCAGGAGUGGGUUCGAUUCCCAUCCGUCACCCU